CCUACGGGUGGCAGCAGUGAGGAAUAUUGGUCAAUGGACGAGAGUCUGAACCAGCCAAGUAGCGUGCAGGAUGACUGCCCUAUGGGUUGUAAACUUCUUUUAUAUGGGAAUAAAAUGCUCCACGUGUAGGGUUUUGUAUGUACCAUAUGAAUAAGGAUCGGCUAACUCCGUGCCAGCAGCCGCGGUAAUACGGAGGGUCCGAGCGUUAUCCGGAUUUAUUGGGUUUAAAGGGAGCGUAGGUGGAUUGUUAAGGCAGUUGUGAAAGGUUGCGGCUCAACCGUAAAAUUGCAGUUGAAACUGGCAGUCUUGAGUACAGUAGAGGUGGGCGGAAUUCGUGGUGUAGCGGUGAAAUGCUUAGAUAUCACGAAGAACUCCGAUUGCGAAGGCAGUUCACUGGACUGCAACUGACACUGAGGCUCGAAAGUGUGGGUAUCAAACAGGAUUAGAUACCCGAGUAGUC
rnacentral:rRNA from 1 species